AGCGAGCGCUGGCGGCAGGCCUAACACAUGCAAGUCGAACGGACCCUUCGGGGUUAGUGGCGGACGGGUGAGUAACACGUGGGAACGUGCCUUUAGGUUCGGAAUAGCUCCUGGAAACGGGUGGUAAUGCCGAAUGUGCCCUUCGGGGGAAAGAUUUAUCGCCUUUAGAGCGGCCCGCGUCUGAUUAGCUAGUUGGUGAGGUAACGGCUCACCAAGGCGACGAUCAGUAGCUGGUCUGAGAGGAUGACCAGCCACACUGGGACUGAGACACGGCCCAGACUCCUACGGGAGGCAGCAGUGGGGAAUCUUGCGCAAUGGGCGAAAGCCUGACGCAGCCAUGCCGCGUGAAUGAUGAAGGUCUUAGGAUUGUAAAAUUCUUUCACCGGGGACGAUAAUGACGGUACCCGGAGAAGAAGCCCCGGCUAACUUCGUG
rnacentral:rRNA from 1 species